UAUGACUUCUUAGGAAAGAAGGUUCUGCCGUUUCCUUACUGUGAAGUGAGAGGGAAGCCUAGGUAUGUGCCCUUAGCGGGAAGGUGCUGCAGAAACGGGGCAGAGGAGGCCGCGUCCUCCAGGAGGUGCUCUUGUCUAGCAGUUCUUGUGCUCAGCUUGUUGCCUCUGCUCUCCAGGAAGUUGUCAGGACAUGAGAGACACAGAGGUGGGAGCCCAAUUUCAUGA
rnacentral:lncRNA from 1 species